AGUGGUGGACAGAGUGGGGCAGGCUGUGUCUCCAGCCCCAGAGGAGUGGAGCUAACUCCUGUGCUGGGGGCCUGGAGCAAGGUGCUCAGGGAAGUAGCCCUGGGGCUGCUGUUCCAGAAGGAGAAGGAAGCUGGCUGAGAAGGUGGCACAGCAUAAAUCCAGAAGGAUUAAAUUUGGGGAGUUAUUCCUGAUUUACACCAGUGUAAACACUGAGAUACAAAUAUGGCCUAAAGCAGCAAGAAAAUGUUUGGGACUGGCAGCAGCCUCAACAGUAUUACCAUACCACUCUGUUUGUAGAGUGCUUGACUGAAAGCUGCCCUCUGUGGGCAGGACAAGGCGAUUCAUACUGUAUCUGUUCAACCCUGGGCAUCUCUACUGAGUUUCAACACAGCUGCCAGCUGUGCACUGGACAUGUAUUAGUUUAAUUUAUUUAUAACUUCUUGUCACUGAAUGAUCUGAUUGUUCCACUGGCAAUUGAAGUGAGACCAACAGUUUGCCUGACAUAGGCAAAAGACUGCCAUUUUUUUUGAUACAUAGAAAAUCCCUUAGAUUGAUAGUGAUCAAUUUCUCCUGAUGUAACAGAUUUGUCUGUUUUCAGUGCAGAAUGACUUAACACAGCAAUUAGCACAAUAUGCUUAAUUAGUAGUUACAUAGCAUUGUCUAGUGCUUUAAUCAUUGAACACUACUGACUUUCCAAUAAGGAAUGGUAUGGGUCCCUAAGUGCACGGUAUUUGGGCUCACUUAUAACGUACAAGUGAGGGCAUUUAAAAUCGCCCACUCUAUGGCUUCAGAUGACAAUUGUCUGCACUGCAGCAUCUCAUUCAACAGAUGACAUCUCUCCCCCAUAAACACUGAACAAGAAAACCCGGCAAAGGAAAAUCUACUUUCAUUGGAAAAGGGUGUUUUGUUUAGUUUGUUUUGUUUUUAUUGUGAAGACUAUAUGAAGGCACACUCAGUGGGGCAGGAGAAGACAGCAAUGACAAUCCAUGUGGGAGACACUGAUGGAUGGAGCCUAUACCAAUAAGAAUA